AAAGGAAUAGACGGGGGCCCGCACAAGCAGCGGAGCGUGUGGUUUAAUUCGACGCAACGCGCCGCACCUCACCCAGCCUUGACAUGGAGCUGCAAGCCGGUGAAAGCCGGUCGCCUACGAGGGUGCUCCACAGGUGCUGCAUGGCUGUCGUCAGCUCGUGUCGUGAGAUGUUGGGUUAAGUCCCGCAACGAGCGCAACCCCCGCGGCUAGUUACAGGUGUCUAGCCGGACUGCCCCUCGGGGAGGAAGGCGGGGAUGACGUCAAGUCCGCAUGGCCCUUACGGCUGGGGCGACACACACGCUACAAUGCCGCCGGCAAUGCGCAGCGCGUCGGCAACGACAAGCCAAUCGCCAAGCGGCGGCCCAGUGCAGAUCGGGGGCUGCAACUCGCCCCCGUGAAGGCGGAGUUGCUAGUAACCGCGUAUCAGCCACGGCGCGGUGAAUACGUACCCGGGCCUUGUACACACCGCCCGU
rnacentral:rRNA from 1 species